CACGUAGGGCGCAAGCGUUGUCCGGAAUUAUUGGGCGUAAAGAGCUCGUAGGCGGUCUGUUACGUCUGCUGUGAAAACCCAGGGCUUAACCCUGGGCUUGCAGUGGAUACGGGCAGACUAGAGGCAGGUAGGGGAGAAUGGAAUUCCCGGUGUAGCGGUGAAAUGCGCAGAUAUCGGGAGGAACACCGGUGGCGAAGGCGGUUCUCUGGGCCUGACUGACGCUGAGGAGCGAAAGCGUGGGGAGCGAACAGG
rnacentral:rRNA from 1 species